rnacentral:rRNA from 1 species
GAUGAACGCUGGCGGCGUGCCUAAUACAUGCAAGUCGAGCGAACAGACGAGGAGCUUGCUCCUCUGACGUUAGCGGCGGACGGGUGAGUAACACGUGGAUAACCUACCUAUAAGACUGGGGUAACUUCGGGAAACCGGAGCUAAUACCGGAUAAUAUAUUGAACCGCAUGGUUCAAUAGUGAAAGACGGUUUUGCUGUCACUUAUAGAUGGAUCCGCGCCGCAUUAGCUAGUUGGUAAGGUAACGGCUUACCAAGGCGACGAUGCGUAGCCGACCUGAGAGGGUGAUCGGCCACACUGGAACUGAGACACGGUCCAGACUCCUACGGGAGGCAGCAGUAGGGAAUCUUCCGCAAUGGGCGAAAGCCUGACGGAGCAACGCCGCGUGAGUGAUGAAGGUCUCCGGAUCGUAAAACUCUGUUAUUAGGGAAGAACAAAUGUGUAAGUAACUAUGCACGUCUUGACGGUACCUAAUCAGAAAGCCACGGCUAACUACGUG